rnacentral:lncRNA from 1 species
UCUGGUCGUGGUUUCUUUCUCCCAUUCAUCCGUUGAUGUCUGGUUGAAUCUUUCCCAUUCGUUCGUUGGCGUCUGGUCGUGGUUUCUCUUCCCAUUCAUCAUCUUUCGAUGUCUGGUCGUGGUUUCUUUCUCCCAUUCAUCUGUUGAUGUCUGGUUGAGUCUUUCCCGUUCGUCCGUUGACGUCUGGUCGUGGUUUCUUUCUUCCCAUUCAUCAUUUUUCGAUGUCUGGUCGUGGUUUCUUUCUC